UACGGAGGGUGCAAGCGAUGUUCGGCUUCAUUGGGCGUAAAGCGAGUGUAGGCGGUUUUACAAGUCGGAUGUGAAAUCCCGGGGCCCAACCCCGGAACUGCACCCGAUACUGUCUGGCUAGAGUCCCGGAGAGGGUGGCGGAAUUCCCGGUGUAGGGGUGAAAUCCGUAGAUAUCGGGAGGAACACCAGUGGCGAAGGCGGCCACCUGGACGGUGACUGACGCUGAGACUCGAAAGCGUGGGUAGCAAACAGG
rnacentral:rRNA from 1 species